CGGCGGACGGGUGAGUAACACGUGGGUAACCUACCUAUAAGACUGGGAUAACUUCGGGAAACCGGAGCUAAUACCGGAUAAUAUUUCGAACCGCAUGGUUCGAUAGUGAAAGAUGGCUUUGCUAUCACUUAUAGAUGGACCCGCGCCGUAUUAGCUAGUUGGUAAGGUAACGGCUUACCAAGGCGACGAUACGUAGCCGACCUGAGAGGGUGAUCGGCCACACUGGAACUGAGACACGGUCCAGACUCCUACGGGAGGCAGCAGAG
rnacentral:rRNA from 1 species